UAGGGAAUCUUCCGCAAUGGGCGAAAGCCUGACGGAGCAACGCCGCGUGAGUGAUGAAGGUCUUCGGAUCGUAAAACUCUGUUAUUAGGGAAGAACAAAUGUGUAAGUAACUAUGCACGUCUUGACGGUACCUAAUCAGAAAGCCACGGCUAACUACGUGCCAGCAGCCGCGGUAAUACGUAGGUGGCAAGCGUUAUCCGGAAUUAUUGGGCGUAAAGCGCGCGUAGGCGGUUUUUUAAGUCUGAUGUGAAAGCCCACGGCUCAACCGUGGGGGGUCAUUGGAAACUGGAAAACUUGAGUGCAGAAGAGGAAAGUGGAAUUCCAUGUGUAGCGGUGAAAUGCGCAGAGAUAUGGAGGAACACCAGUUGCGAAGGCGACUUUCUGGUCUGUAACUGACGCUGAUGUGCGAAAGCGUGGGGAUCAAACAGG
rnacentral:rRNA from 1 species